GACAGAGGUGCCAAGCGUUAGGCGGAAUCACUGGGCUUAAAGCGUGUGUAGGCGGAAUUCUAAGUACCUUGUGAAAUCCCACGGCUCAACCGUGGAACUGCUCGGUAUACUGGUUUUUCUUGAGCCACUUAGGGGCUGUCGGAACAAGCGGUGGAGCGGUGAAAUGCGUAGAUAUCGAGAGGAACACCUGCGGCGAAGGCGGGUUGCUGGGCUGACACUGACGCUGAUGCGCGAAAGCCAGGGGAGCGAACGGG
rnacentral:rRNA from 1 species